GGUAGCAUGGCCGAGUGGUCUAAGGCGCUGGAUUAAGGCUCCAGUCUCUUCGGGGGCGUGGGUUCAAAUCCCACUGCUGCCA